rnacentral:tRNA from 2 species
GGCCCAUUCGUCUAUCGGUUCAGGACGCCAGAUUUUCAUUCUGGAAAGAGGGGUUCGAUUCCCCUAUGGGCUACAA